rnacentral:rRNA from 1 species
GCUUUCAGUGUCGAAGCGAAGGUGAUAAGUCCACUGCCUGGGGAGUACGGUCGCAAGGCUGAAACUUAAAGGAAUUGGCGGGGGAGCACUGCAACCUGAGGAUUGUGCGGUUUAAUUGGAUUCAACGCCGGAAAACUCACCGGGGGCGACGAUUACAUGAAGGCCAGGCUGAUGACCUUGCCUGAUUUUUCGAGAGGUGGUGCAUGGCCGCCGUCAGUUCGUACCGUAAGGCGUUCUGUUAAGUCAGAUAACGAACGAGACCUCCGUCACCAUUUGCUAUCUUCUUCUCCGGAAGGGGAGCACUAUGGUGGUACCGCCACUGUUAAAGUGGAGGAAGGAGGGGGCAACGGUAGGUCAGUAUGCCCCGAAUCUCCCGGGCUACACGCGCGCUACAAAGGGCAGGACAAUGGGCUUCGACACCGAAAGGUGGAGGCAAUCCCGAAACCUGCUCGUAAUUCGGAUUGAGGGCUGCAAUUCGCCCUCAUGAAGCUGGAAUACGUAGUAAUCGCGGGUCAACAUCCCGCGGUGAAUAUGCCCCUGCUCCUUGCACACACCGCCCGUCAAACCACCUUAGUUGGGUCUGGACGAGGGUUUGUCUU